ACGAACGCUGGCGGCGUGCUUCACACAUGCAAGUCGAACGGAAAGGCCCUGCUUUUGUGGGGUGCUCGAGUGGCGAACGGGUGAGUAACACGUGAGUAACCUGCCCUUGACUUUGGGAUAACUUCAGGAAACUGGGGCUAAUACCGGAUAGGAGCUCCUGCUGCAUGGUGGGGGUUGGAAAGUUUCGGCGGUUGGGGAUGGACUCGCGGCUUAUCAGCUUGUUGGUGGGGUAGUGGCUUACCAAGGCUUUGACGGGUAGCCGGCCUGAGAGGGUGACCGGCCACAUUGGGACUGAGAUACGGCCCAGACUCCUACGGGAGGCAGCAGUGGGGAAUAUUGCACAAUGGGCGGAAGCCUGAUGCAGCAACGCCGCGUGCGGGAUGACGGCCGUCGGGUUGUAAACCGCUUUCGCCUGUGACGAAGCGUGAGUGACGGUAAUGGGUAAAGAAGCACCGGCUAACUACGUG
rnacentral:rRNA from 1 species